UAUCGCCUGAAGAGGGGUUUGCGUCUGAUUAGCUAGUUGGUGAGGUAACGGCCCACCAAGGCGACGAUCAGUAGCCGGUCUGAGAGGAUGAACGGCCACAUUGGGACUGAGAUACGGCCCAGACUCCUACGGGAGGCAGCAGUGGGGAAUAUUGCACAAUGGGGGAAACCCUGAUGCAGCAACGCCGCGUGAAGGAUGACGGUUUUCGGAUUGUAAACUUCUUUUCUUAGUGACGAAACGUGACGGUAGCUAAGGAAUAAGCAUCGGCUAACUACGUGCCAGCAGCCGCGGUAAUACGUAGGAUGCAAGCGUUAUCCGGAUUUACUGGGUGUAAAGGGAGCGCAGGCGGGACUGCAAGUUGGAUGUGAAAUACCGUGGCUUAACCACGGAACUGCAUCCAAAACUGUAGUUCUUGAGUGAAGUAGAGGCAAGCGGAAUUCCGAGUGUAGCGGUGAAAUGCGUAGAUAUUCGGAGGAACACCAGUGGCGAAGGCGGCUUGCUGGGCUUUAACUGACGCUGAG
rnacentral:rRNA from 1 species